UACUCCUACGGGGAGGCAGCAGUAGGGAAUCUUCCACAAUGGGCGCAAGCCUGAUGGAGCAACGCCGCGUGAGUGAGGAAGGCUUUCGGGUCGUAAAGCUCUGUUGCCAGGGAAGAAUAAGGGCCAGUUAACUGCUGGUCCGAUGACGGUACCUGAGAAGAAAGCCCCGGCUAACUACGUGCCAGCAGCCGCGGUAAUACGUAGGGGGCAAGCGUUGUCCGGAAUUAUUGGGCGUAAAGCGCGCGCAGGCGGUCUUUUAAGUCUGGUGUCUAAGUGCGGGGCUCAACCCCGUGUCGCACUGGAAACUGGGAGACUUGAGUGCAGAAGAGGAGAGCGGAAUUCCACGUGUAGCGGUGAAAUGCGUAGAGAUGUGGAGGAACACCAGUGGCGAAGGCGGCUCUCUGGACUGUAACUGACGCUGAGCGCGAAGCUGCCUC
rnacentral:rRNA from 1 species